rnacentral:rRNA from 1 species
GACGAACCGUGCGAACGUUGUUCGGAAUCACUGGGCUUAAAGGGCGCGUAGGCGGACGACCAAGUCGGGGGUGAAAUCUUUCGGCUCAACCGGAAAAUAGCCUUCGAUACUGGCCGUCUAGAGGGAGGUAGGGGCGUGUGGAACUUCCGGUGGAGCGGUGAAAUGCGUUGAUAUCGGAAGGAACGCCGGUGGCGAAAGCGACACGCUGGAUCUCAUCUGACGCUGAGGCGCGAAAGCCAGGGGAGCGAACGGG